rnacentral:rRNA from 1 species
UACGUAGGGUGCGAGCGUUUAAUCGGAAUUACUGGGCGUAAAGCGUGCGCAGGCGGUUAUGUAAGACAGAUGUGAAAUCCCCGGGCUCAACCUGGGAACUGCAUUUGUGACUGCAUAGCUAGAGUACGGUAGAGGGGGGAUGGGAAUUCCGCGUGUAGCAGUGAAAUGCGUAGAUAUGCGGAGGAACACCGAUGGCGAAGGCAAUCCCCCUGGACCUGUACUGACGCUCAUGCACGAAAGCGUGGGGGAGCAAACAGG